rnacentral:piRNA from 1 species
UGGAUGUAACAAAGAACACCGUGCCAUGU